rnacentral:rRNA from 1 species
UGGGGAAUAUUGGACAAUGGGCGAAAGCCUGAUCCAGCCAUGCCGCGUGUGUGAAGAAGGUCUUUGGAUUGUAAAGCACUUUAAGUUGGGAGGAAGGGCAGUAAGCGAAUACCUUGCUGUUUUGACGUUACCGACAGAAUAAGCACCGGCUAACUCUGUGCCAGCAGCCGCGGUAAUACAGAGGGUGCAAGCGUUAAUCGGAAUUACUGGGCGUAAAGCGCGCGUAGGUGGUUCGUUAAGUUGAAUGUGAAAGCCCCGGGCUCAACCUGGGAACUGCAUCCAAGACUGGCGAGCUAGAGUAGGGCAGAGGGUGGUGGAAUUUCCUGUGUGGCGGUGAAAUGCGUGGAUAUAGGAAGGAACACCGGUGGCGAAGGCGACCACCUGGACUCAUUAUGACUCUGAGGUGCGAAAGCGUGAGGAGCAGACAGG